AACGUAGGAGACAAACGUUAUCCGGAGUUACUGGGCGUAAAGGGCGUGUAGGUGGUAUCGUAAGUCUGGCGUGAAAUUUCUCGGCUUAACCGAGGCAGGUCGUCGGAUACUGCGAGGCUAGAGGACGGUAGAGGCGUGUGGAAUUCCGGGUGUAGUGGUGAAAUGCGUAGAGAUCCGGAGGAACACCAGUGGCGAAGGCGACACGCUGGGCCGUACCUGACACUGAUGCGCGACAGCAUGGGGAGCAAACAGGG
rnacentral:rRNA from 1 species